UACGUAGGGGGCAAGCGUUGUCCGGAUUUAUUGGGCGUAAAGAGCGUGUAGGCGGCCUGGCAGGUCAGCUGUGAAAACUCGAGGCUCAACCUCGAGACGUCGGUUGAAACCACCUGGCUAGAGUCCGGAAGAGGAGAGUGGAAUUCCUGGUGUAGCGGUGAAAUGCGCAGAUAUCGGGAAGAACACCCGUGGCGAAGGCGGCUCUCUGGGACGGUACUGACGCUGAGACGCGAAAGCGUGGGGAGCGAACAGG
rnacentral:rRNA from 1 species